GGCCGCUAUCGGAGCUGCUGUCCGGUCAAUUUGGAAAUUGCUAUUGUAUCGUUCUAUUCUGUUUAUCGUGAUAUGUGGUUGAUAGAAUUUUUGCGGUUGCUGCCGAUUAACAUAAGAAUAAGGAUUUAAUGGGUUUAAUUAUGCAACUUGCGACUAAUCGAGGAUAUGGGCGACGGAGCUUUAGAAGAGUUAUAUUCAUUUUCUAUUUAUUCGAUGUUAUUUUAUAUUAUCUUAGUUUUUACUUUUUCCUCGUCUUUAUUUCUAGCAAUUUUUACAAGAGGGAUAGGAGUUUUGAUAUGUGAAGUUUGUAUAUUGCUAUGAUGUGUAUAUAUUUAUGUAUUAUUUGUAAGAAUUGUAAUCAGUACUGUAACGUAUGGAUAGAAGUUUUAAAUAUUCGGUGGAGUUUUAAACAGGCUUA